rnacentral:rRNA from 1 species
AUACGUAGGUGACAAGCGUUAUCCGGAUUUACUGGGCGUAAAGGGCGUGUAGGCGGUCUUGCAAGUCAGAAGUGAAAUUCCUGAGCUCAACUCGGGCGCUGCUUCUGAAACUGCAGGACUUGAGUGCUGGAGGGGAUAGCGGAAUUCCUAGUGGAGCGGUAAAAUGCGCAGAUAUUAGGAAGAACACCGGUGGCGAAGGCGGCUAUCUGGACAGUAACUGACGCUGAGGCGCGAAAGCGUGGGGAGCAAACAGGAUUAGAUACCCUGUUAGUCCACGCCGUAAACGAUGAAUACUAGGUGUAGGGGGUAUCGACUCCCUCUGUGCCGCAGUUAACACAAUAAGUAUUCCGCCUGGGGAGUACGGCCGCAAGGUUGAAACUCAAAUGAAUUGACGGGG